GGGCGGGGCCCCGCUGGUGUUGCCGUGAAAAUGUCGCUGCGUGGACUUUUUUAGUCGAGGCUGCGUUCGAGGACCCGCUCGCCACCUUCCAGAAGCCACGUCGUGUCGGCCGAGAGCAUUUUCCAAUAUAUUCUUCUUGGUGAUUGAGCAGGAAGGGGCUAAAAACAAGUUUGCCCAGAAGGAAGUGAUGACGCGUACACUGACGAAGGACGUGGCGAUAGAGCGAAUACAAAUCUCUGUUGCCGGGGCAACACGCUCUCUGGCAGGAGGAAAUGUAACACGCAGGCUGAUGUCAAUCUCUAAAGUCCACAUUUCACGCUGUGGAAACAUCUGCUGCGAACGUAACGAGGAGGGACUUGUCCAGGGUGUACGCCGCCUUCCGCCCAUGUGCAGCUGAGAUAGGCUCCAGCACUCCCCGUGACCCCGAAAGGGACAAGCGGUACAAAAUGAAUGGAUAUUGUAUUUUUAAUAACUGCAUUUUAAUUAUUAAAUGAUGUGUGUUGUAUUUUUAUUAAUAAUGUUGCAUAUUGUAUUAAUAAAUGUAGCAUAUUGUA